rnacentral:rRNA from 1 species
UGGGGAAUUUUGGACAAUGGGCGAAAGCCUGAUCCAGCAAUGCCGCGUGUGUGAAGAAGGCCUUCGGGUUGUAAAGCACUUUUGUCCGGAAAGAAAUCCUCUGGGUUAAUACCUCGGGGGGAUGACGGUACCGGAAGAAUAAGCACCGGCUAACUACGUGCCAGCAGCCGCGGUAAUACGUAGGGUGCAAGCGUUAAUCGGAAUUACUGGGCGUAAAGCGUGCGCAGGCGGUUUUGUAAGACGGAUGUGAAAUCCCCGGGCUUAACCUGGGAACUGCAUUCGUGACUGCAAGGCUAGAGUAUGGCAGAGGGGGGUAGAAUUCCACGUGUAGCAGUGAAAUGCGUAGAGAUGUGGAGGAAUACCGAUGGCGAAGGCAGCCCCCUGGACCAAUACUGACGCUCAUGCACGAAAGCGUGGGGAGCAAACAGGAUUAGAUACCCUGGUAGUCCACGCCCUAAACGAUGUCAACUAGUUGUUGGGGAUUCAUUUCCUUAGUAACGUAGCUAACGCGUGAAGUUGACCGCCUGGGGAGUACGGUCGCAAGAUUAAAACUCAAAGGAAUUGACGGGGUCAUAGCUGUUUCCU